AUACGGAGGGUGCAAGCGUUACUCGGAAUCACUGGGCGUAAAGCGCGCGCAGGCGGUCUUUUAAGUUGGAUGUGAAAGCCUACGGCUCAACCGUAGAACUGCAUCCAAAACUAUUAGACUAGAGUGUGGGAGAGGAAGAUGGAAUUAGUUGUGUAGGGGUAAAAUCCGUAGAGAUAACUAGGAAUACCAAAAGCGAAGGCAAUCUUCUGGAACACUACUGACGCUGAGGCGCGAAAGCGUGGGGAGCAAACAGAAUUAGAUACCCCAGUAGUCC
rnacentral:rRNA from 1 species